AGAGUUUGAUCCUGGCUUAGGAUGAACGCUAGCUACAGGCUUAACACAUGCAAGUCGAGGGGCAGCAUUGGAGUAGCAAUACUCAGAUGGCGACCGGCGCACGGGUGAGUAACACGUAUCCAACCUGCCGCUUACUCGGGGAUAGCCUUUCGAAAGAAAGAUUAAUGCCCGAUGGUAUAAAGAGUUCGCAUGUUCUCUUUAUUAAAGAAUUUCGGUAAGCGAUGGGGAUGCGUUCCAUUAGAUAGUUGGCGGGUAACGGCCCACCAAGUCUACGAUGGAUAGGGGUUCUGAGAGGAAGGUCCCCCACAUUGGAACUGAGACACGGUCCAAACUCCUACGGGAGGCAGCAGUGAGGAAUAUUGGUCAAUGGACGAGAGUCUGAACCAGCCAAAAGUAGCGUGAAGGAUGACUGCCCUAUGGGUUGUAAACUUCUUUUAUAAGGGAAUAAAGUGAGGGACGUGUCCCUUUUUGUAUGUACCUUAUGAAUAAGGAUCGGCUAACUCCGUGCCAGCCGCCGC
rnacentral:rRNA from 1 species